rnacentral:sRNA from 1 species
UUCUUGGAACACCUGAAAUUCAGAUCAGAUCACAUCACUGCACUGCAUAGAUUUAAACACGGAAAGAGAAUUCAAAGCUAAAAGCUCUUGCAAUUACCUUUGAGUAGUUGAUUACAUGAUCUAAGUCAACAUAUACAAUGUGGAUGAGUUUCUACUUUGCUGUUUUAGCUGUUCUACUUAUUCAAGCUCGUGCUCAACCAGGAUUCAUCA